rnacentral:rRNA from 1 species
UACGUAGGGGGCUAGCGUUAUCCGGAUUCACUGGGUUUAAAGGGUGCGUAGGAGGGCAGGUAAGUCAGUGGUGAAAUCUCCAAGCUUAACUUGGAAACUGCCGUUGAUACUAUCUGUCUUGAAUAUUGUGGAGGUGAGCGGAAUAUGUCAUGUAGCGGUGAAAUGCUUAGAUAUGACAUAGAACACCAAUUGCGAAGGCAGCUCGCUACACAUAUAUUGACUCUGAGGCACGAAAGCGUGGGGAGCAAACAGG